UUAAGCAUAUAAGUAAGCGGAGGAUAAGAAACUAAAUAGGAUUCCUUAAGUAAUGGCGAAUGAACAAGGAUGAGCUCAGAAUGAAAAUCGGGGCCUAUGGCUUUGAAUUGUAGUCUUGAGAUGUGUUGCCAGCGGAGGCGCAGAUGUAAGCCUCUUGGAAAAGAGCACCAACGAGGGUGAUAGUCCCGUUUGUCAUCUGCAGCCCCCCGUGUACGGCGCAUGUUCUAAGAGUCACGUUCCUCGGGAUUGGAGCGCAAAACGGGUGGUAAAUUUCAUCUGAAGCUAAAUAUUGGUUCGAGACCGAUAGCAAACAAGUACCAUGAGGGAAAGGUGAAAAGGACUUUGAAAAGAGAGUUAAAAGUGCCUGAAAUUGCUGAGAGGGAAGCGAAUGGAACCAGCUUUUCUUGGUGAGAUUGUUGCAUGCUACAGCUAUGGCUUUCUAUGGUAACGCAAGUGCCCUAGUUUGUCACCAGCUUGACGCAUGCGGUGGUUCUUGCUUUGCGUGUCAGCUCUGGCGCAGACCUGAUGAAAACUGUAGGGUCAAGGUAGCUCGUCCCCGGGUGAGUGAAUGUCCCUGCAAGAAAUCACGUGUGCGCUUGACAUGGCGUGCCUCAUUUGGUGAGCCACAAGAUUGAUGACAAAAUGAUUCCAUACGACCCGUCUUGAAACACGGNACCAAGG
rnacentral:rRNA from 1 species